GGCUGGUCCAAGUGCAGUGGUGUUUACAACUAAUUGAUCACACAGUCAGUUACAGAUUUCUUUGUUCCUUCUCCACUCCCACUGCUUCACUUGACUAGGCUUAA
ensembl:misc_RNA Y_RNA Y RNA